rnacentral:rRNA from 1 species
UGGGCGUAAGAAGCUUGAGUGGAUCUGACCUUAGUACGAGAGGACCGGGUUGGACUAACCGCUGGUGUACCAGUUGUCUCGCCAGGGGCAUAGCUGGGUAGCUACGUUGGGAAGGGAUAAGCGCUGAAAGCAUCUAAGCGCGAAACCCACCACAAGAUGAGGCUUCUUUUAAGGGAUGUUCUAGACUAGGACGUUGAUAGGCUACAGGUGUAAAGGCAGUAAUGUCAAAGCUGAGUAGUACUAAUUACCCGUAAGCUUUCUUUA